UUACACUCCUAGGCUACCCUGAACAAGCCCAAUCCCAUCUGAUCUCAGAAGCUAAGCAGGGUCAGGCUUGGUUAGUGCUUGGAUAGGAGACUACCUAGGAAGACCAAGUGCUGUAGG
rnacentral:rRNA from 1 species